GACGGCCUUCGGGUUGUAAACCUCUUUUAGUAGGGAAGAAGCGUAACAGUGACGGUACCUGCAGAAAAAGCACCGGCUAACUACGUGCCAGCAGCCGCGGUAAUACGUAGGGUGCAAGCGUUGUCCGGAAUUAUUGGGCGUAAAGAGCUCGUAGGCGGUUUGUCGCGUCUGCUGUGAAAACCCGAGGCUCAACCUCGGGCCUGCAGUGGGUACGGGCAGACUAGAGUGCGGUAGGGGAGAUUGGAAUACCUGGUGUAGCGGUGGAAUGCGCAGAUAUCAGGAGGAACACCAAUGGCGAAGGCAGAUCUCUGGGCCGUAACUGACGCUGAGGAGCGAAAGCAUGGGGAGCGAACAGGAUUAGAUACCCUGGUAGUCCAUGCCGUAAACGUUGGGAACUAGAUGUGGGGACCAUUCCACGGUCUCCGUGUCGCAGCUAACGCAUUAAGUUCCCCGCCUGGGGAGUACGGCCGCAAGGCUAAAACUCAAAGGAAUUGACGGAAUCGAAUU
rnacentral:rRNA from 1 species